GAGGAGUAAGGGAAACUUUCAGAGUUGUAGAACCUAAAACUUCAGCCUGUCCUUGCUUGAACUAGGAGCACUGUCACCACAGGAGCCUUUACUGAAGACCUGAGAGGAUGAGUGGUCAGACCCCACCCACACACACUCUGCUGACACAUGAAGCUUUGAUCAUGUCCUCUCUGGAGGAGUUGCCUACUGUGGUCUUCCCAGCACUAUUCAAAGAGGCCUUUGCUGGCAGACAAACCAAUCUCCUAAAGGCAAUGGUGGCAGCCUGGCCUUUCCCCUGUCUCCCUGUGGGGUCAUUGAUGAAGAAGCCUAACCUAGAAACCUUGCAAGCCCUGCUAGAUGGAAUAGACAUGCGACUGACAAGAGAGUUUCACCCCAGGAGGGCAAAACUUCAGGUUCUUGACAUGAGAAAUAUGUACCAUGCCUUCUGGAACAUACGGGCUGAUGCAAAUGACAGUGACUGUAAAUCAAAGACAUUGGAUGAAAAGCAGCUAGUGAAGGUCCUUCCGAGAUAUGCACGGAGGCAGCGUCUGAAGGUCAUAGUCAACCUGUCAAUCAGUUCCCACUUCAAUAAAUCAAAGGCAUAUUUCUUGAAUUGGGCCAAGCAGAGAAUAGGAUCCCUAUAUUUCUGCUGUAUAAAGAUGAAGAUCUGGGACCCACCAGACCAAGUUAUCAGAGACAUCUUUAAUGUUUUUGAUCCAGAGCACAUCACAGAAUUAGAACUGAAUACUGACUGGACUCUGUUACAGCUUGCACAUUUUGCUCCCUAUUUUGGGCACAUGAAAAAUCUUCAAAAAGUCUUCCUGGCACCCCUCCACAAGAAUACCUCCCCUAUUAUCAAUAUAACAAGUGCCACAGAAGCCAAGUGUGUUCACAAAAUUAUUUCUCAGUUUUCCCAAUUCAACUGUCUCCAGCAUAUCUUCAUGAAACACGUCCAUUUUCUAAGAGACUACAUGAAUCAGGUCCUAGGGUAAGCAAGAAUGGAGAUCUGGGUCAGGUGCCUGAUGACACCCUUGGAGACCCUCUCCAUCACUCAAUGCCUAAUUUCACAGAGAGACUUUGAUUUAUUUUCCUGCUCCCAAAACCUCUUUAAAUUAAAACAUCUGGAAAUAAGAGGGAUGAUCUUAUAUGCUUUGGAUCUUAUGCCUCUGAGAGGUCUCCUACAAAAAGUAGCAGACACUCUUGAGAUUCUGGAUUUUCAGUGGUGUAGGAUGUAGGACUCCCAGAUCAAUGCCCUCCUACCUGCCCUCAGUCAAUGCACUCAGCUCAACCAGAUCAACUUCUACAACAAUGACUUCUCCAUGUGCACCCUGAAGGCCCUUUUCCAGCACACAGCCAACUGGAGCAAGAUGAAUGUGGAACAAUACCCUGCCCCUCUGCAGUGCUAUAAUGAGUUGGGUCAUGUCUCUGUAGAAAGAUUUGUCCAACUUUGUCAGGAGCUCAUGUAUACUCUCAGAGCUAUAAGGCAGCCCAAGAGCAUCUCUUUUGCUACAGAUAACUGUCAAAAAUGUGGUAAGCCCUGUGUCUAUGACCAGGGCCCAAUAUUUUGUUCUUGUUUUCAGUAAACAUAGAUACAGGACUUCUGGAUAUGAAUAAAUGACAGGCUUGGGACACAUCUUUUAUCUGCAGUGCUCAGAAACUGUGAUUUCAGACACUUCCCAUAUGGUUGGAAAUAAAGAGAUUUACAGUGACUGGGACCCUGAAGGUUGAGCUUAACAUUGGGACCAUUUCGAUGGAAUCUGAUAUCAGGGGGGUUGUGGGGUCAGAAAAAGAGUUUGGCAUUUAUAUGUGGCUUCUGCCCAGACAUUGUAUAUAUAGAUGCUUUUUUGUGUACUCAUAAACCUAGAUGAUCUCUCUCAUGGGUCUUUGACUAUUAACAACAUCACUAUCAGGGUCAGGGUCUAGAAGGUUGAAUAGGUCCAGGAUUGGAAAUACACUGUUAUUUUAUAAAGAAAGGUAAGUUUUAGGUGAUAAAUGGCAUGUAUAAAAUGAAAGUAUUCGUGACACAUCUUUCCCUUGUCUCUUGCCUGGGCUACAUGUGUAACACUUUUGUGUGGCUGAUCAGUUAUGUGCACAAAACAUUUAAACUAAAGUGAGCAACAUAGACAAAUUCUUUGAAGGAGGAAGAAAAGUGUCACAAAUGGUUACUAUACAGUACAUUCAGACCACAAAGCACCUUGGACCCAUCAAAGAUGCCUAAAGUUAAGAAGACAACAUAGAGCAAAGCAAACAGGCUUUCCAUUCUAGCUUUGAACUCUUGAUAUUUUUGUCAUGCCUUAAUGAGUUUACUAACAGGAACCUCUAUAUGAGGUCUUCAUGACAUGUGUCUCUAGGGCCCUAUUCCUAUGGAGUCCCAAAAUCUAUGAAGUACCUAUAGUAUAUGUAAAGGUGUCCAAUAAUAUGCAGGUAACUUAUCUACAUGAAGUAUUUACUUUUAAAAAAUGUAUUUUAAGGCUUUAGUUGUAAUAAAAACAAAAGAAAAGAAUCUCCCUCUGCCUAGUCAUUAUACCCCUUUCUGUAUAGCAAACUAUCAAUAAAAUAAUUUA